AAGAAAUAAUAGUCAAAUUCUCCAUUAUUGAUAUUAAGAAAUAAUAUCGUAUCCAUGGAGAUAAUGCAACGCAUAGAUGCAUGCCCAACAGCUGAUACUCUUGCUAAUAAUAAUUGGCUUUCCUAAUAAAACCCACAUUUCAAUUCCUCAAUUUCGCUAUCAAUGCCUUGGAUACAAUUCCAAGAGCAGUGUUGAGAACCAAAAAAAAUAUAGAAAUACAAAUAUAAUUACCUAUCAUGAUUAACUCAGCAAUUGCAUGUGACCUUAACAAUCAGAUUGCGACUAUAAAUCACAACCCAUUGGGUCACGUGUAAUGUUAGUACAAGUUAUUCCGGCGUCAUCUAUAAAUGAUAAAAGCAGUCACCUACUGUCCAUGUGUGAUCUGAUCUCAGCUCAAUCCCCAGAUACGUAAGUCUUACCUUCAUAAUACCUUUUCUCACUCUCUGCCUUCUUCUCAUUACGUUUCUGGUAUGCUUCAUGAUUUGCCACAAUCCUCCUAAUUAUCGUGGUAGUAGUAAUAUCCAGAGGGCUUCCCAAAACCUUGAAGAUGCCCAUCCUAAUUGGAACAGCAUAUGGAUUGCAUUGUUCCUUCUCAUACUCGACAUUCUCUGCUACUGUUCCAUGUACCACCAAAGAGAUGUUAAAGGUCGUUAUCAUGUCUUUGGAUACUUCACUUGGAGCACCAAUUAUCACCUCAUCCACAUAUCGACAAGCCAAAACACUUAAACUUCUUUCAUGAAGAUUCAUGAUAGGGCGAUGCACUCCUCUUUUAGCACUGACAGUCUGAUCAUUGUGUAUUCCAACAAGAAGAAAAUCUCCAAGCCCUCGAGCAACCCUCAGGAUCUAAAUAAUAAAAACUGGUUAGCAAACACAUGAGGUCCGCACCAACUACUUCAACUAAACAAAACCUUAAUCUAAACUUCAAAAGAGCUACAUGAAAAUUUAGGCACCAUUCCAUCUAUGACAAUAUCCUGUACUCGGAAUAACAACCUUUUCCUUCUAUUUCUACAAUGCCUUUUCAGGUCUUCCGCUUCUUGUUUUAUUGCUUUAUAGGAUACUUCUCAUCAUUAUUCACUGUUUAAGUCCACUAGAAUAUAUCCUAAUUUUCUGUCAUCCCUUUCAUUUGCAAAUUUUGAGUUGGCAGAUCCAACCACAGCCUAAGAGAGUUGACUUUCCCUCUUUCUAUCCUCAAUUGGUGCCACUUGUCACUUUCACACACUUUAAAUAUUUAUUCUACGUCUUCUAGUACCAGUGUACCACUCAUCUUGCUUCACAUGCUUUUGAACAUAUAACUAUUACAACACUCAACACUAGACUCCAUAAAUCACACAAUCAUUGAGACACAAUUUUCCAUUUAUCUAUCUCUAAUUUUACACAAAAAAUUCUUAUCAGCAUCAGUGCAUCAACCUUCUUUAUGAAUGAUUGAUCUUAUACAUCAACAUCAUUUUAUGGAACUGUUAAUGGUAUCAACAUCAUUUUUUGGAACUGUUUAUGGACCUUUUUGCUACUUAUUCUUUCAAUUUUCUAUUGUGAUUAACUUGCAUCCAUAAACUUGUUUUAGUUCUAUCUAAUAAAAAAUUGAAAAUAUCCCUCAAUAAAUCUUAAGUCAAAAUCCUCCCAUAUGAUCAUUUCAACAACCAAACCUAUAAAUCUAUGACGAUCAGCAGCCACAUAUAACAUGAAACUUCACCUAGAAUAAAUCCCUUUAAUUUAACUCCAUAAGAUUUAGAAGGACUAAAUAGAGGAGAGUGUUAAGUGCAAGAAAGAGAACACAGUCCACAGGAAUCAAAGAUAAAUUAUAAUUAUACCAGCAUUCAGAGAUAGACAAAAGAAGGUUAGAAGAAAUGACAAUUACUUAACCCAUAUUAUAUUUAGAUUUCAAGAAUUUAUACCAAACCCAAACAAGCCAAAAAUUCCAGGAUCAAACUGCCCAAACUCGCAUUAGGGGAAAUAAUUUAUUUUAUUUUAAUAAAAGCAAAUGCACCCCACAAAAAUUAAAAAUAACAAAAAAAAAGCACAAAGUAAAAUUAAAAAGUAAAAAAACACCCAAAAUAAUUUUAAAAAAAAUUAGUUUAAAGGCUCAAUGACCUAAAAUAAAUUCCAAUAUACAGUUUGUUGGAAAACCUAGACCAGCCCAAAACUAGGCAAUCCAAAACCUCAACCUCAAUCUCAACCCAAUUGCUUUCUCUAACCAAUAUGUUAAAUAAAUGCUCAGUGAUCAAUUCCAAAUAUUUGUAUAAUUAGACUCAUAGCAGAAAGAAGCUUAAUGCUCAGAUCAAGAACAAAGAAAAUGAUACUUAGGAGUAUGAAAAACUGCAAAAAUAGAUUCUCUCAGUCCUAGCACCAGAGCCAAGGGAAACCAUUUAAACAAAAGGAAUUAAAAUAGAGCUUAUUCAUACAAUAUACCUCAACAUGUCCAGCAUGAAAAAGAUCAAAAGCACCGUCUAUAUAAACUAUGCGGGCAUCAGGACCUGGACCCUGCAACCAGAGUUUAAAAGUUCCAUUUCGUAGAAAUUAAACAAUGUCUGCCGGAGCAGAAAUCAUUUAUAAAGGUGAAGACCCACAACGAGGCCCAACUUGAUAUCACUUGUCUAAUUAGGAGCAUGAAACUUUUCCAAGUGCAGCAGAAGAUGGUUAAAAGGAAUUUCAUACGAUAUACGGUAAAAAUCAAAUAAACACAAUACAGAAAAAACGCUUUUGGGUGUGAAUUGUAAUAAUGCAUACCUUGCCAUUGGAGAACUGAACAAUUCUGCGAGAAGUAGGAAGAAAAUGAGAAACGCGAGUACCAGCUCUAGUUACAGAUCCACGGUCUUCAAAUUUCGGGCUAUGACCAUGGCUGAACUGCCUUUGCAAAGAUGAGUGAUUGUGACUAUCACUAAUUGAUCUCUCUCGCGUACACAGUAACAUUCGCCCAACUAUAUCGGUGCUUGAGACUCCUUCGGUGCGCUUAAUCUGCUUGUAGCGGCUAGCCUUCUUCGCAAGGGCAUAGGCAUCAGUUCCAUCAGGAAGAACACAAGGGUCAUCCCCAUGGAUGAUAUGAUCGAUGUCACAUUCUUCGAAGAGCUUCUUCAUGAAGCCUUCGGUGAUUGCAUACGGCGCGUCCGGAAUCACCUCGUCCACCCACUUGACGGCUUUAACCAUGAUCAUCCUCUCGUGCAGAGGCGUAACAGGGGGACCUUUAUUCGCUAUGAUUUCCGCGUCGCUCACGACGCCUACCACCAGUUCGUCCCCCAGAGAGCGAGCUUGACGGAGUGCAUUGCAGUGGCCGUAGUGCAUCAUGUCAAAGCAGCCGUCCAUGUACACGCGUAUCUUCUUCUUCCUCCUCAUUCUCCUCCACUGAUUCAAGUCACCGCCUUUCAAAUACAAUCCUAACAGAGAAACUCCCACCGCCACCACCAGCCACGUCGCCACCAUCUUUUCCUUCUCCGAUUGGCCGCUAGCGUCGGAAGCCAUUGCUUGAGAAUUUUCGAAUUAGGCACAG
rnacentral:misc_RNA from 1 species